rnacentral:RNase_P_RNA from 1 species
UUCGUGGUAACACGAAUGGCAAGGUAAACCCCACCUGGAGCAAGACCAAAUAGGAAUCCAAUGGUGUGGCCCGCAUCGGAUUCGGGUAGGUCGCUAGAGUUACAUGGUGACGUGUGACCGAGAUGAAUGGUCGCCCUCGACAGAACCCGGCUUACAGGCCGGCUCCCCAC